rnacentral:rRNA from 1 species
UACGAAGGGGGCUAGCGUUGCUCGGAAUUACUGGGCGUAAAGGGAGCGUAGGCGGAUAUUUAAGUCGGGGGUGAAAGCCCAGGGCUCAACCCUGGAACUGCCUUCGAUACUGGAUAUCUAGAGUAUGGGAGAGGUGUGUGGAACUCCGAGUGUAGAGGUGAAAUUCGUAGAUAUUCGGAAGAACACCAGUGGCGAAGGCGACACACUGGCCCAUUACUGACGCUGAGGCUCGGAAAGCGUGGGGAGCAAACAGGG